GGGGAACCUCACUGCUCCUCUUUGCACAUCUGUUUUGGAGGAAUAUCUGAGGUUUCUGUUGUGACGCACACUGGGCUCAAAUGAACACUGCAUUUGAGUCUUGUGUCUGGGAGUGGGCACAUCUCAUGGUCCGUGUCAGCGCUGGAGUUUGAGAUGAGAUUGGAUUGAAAGCUCUGAAAAAUAGAAAUGUGAAUGGAAAUGGGCCAUGGAGCCUGGGCGGGACGGCUGGGAGGAGAGAUGGCGGCCAGAGUGGCACGCUGACUGGAGGAGUGCCAGCCCCUCUCAACCAGCAUGCGACAGGCGUGGACAGUAAUGGCUGUGUGAUUGGGCUGCACUGGAUGAUGAUUUUAAUAAACACACACACACAGAGGAGGCCACAGGUCAACGGUGUUUGGAUUCAUCAGCCGCUCAGAUUUCUUCAGUCAUCCUCCUGCCAGGGUUGACAGAAAAGCUGUACCAGCUCAGUGCAGAUGCAAGUGCAGCAUGGGUCAUCAAUGAGCCCGAGGUAGCAGACAUGGCCAAUGUUUACUAUCUACCUAUUUACACACCUGGAACUGUCUGACCACUGACGUCCCGCACUGCUAAAGCCUUCCUGCAAAAGAUGGUGGACCGAGCACACAGUAUGAGGACGAAUUGGAAGGAUGCAUUUGCAACAUCCCAAGCAUGAUGGACAAAGGCGAUGACAGAUAUAUGGACAGACCUACAAGUUAAGGUGGAAGAAUACUGAUGUACUGCGUCCCAGCUCUUCACCGCUGCUCGGUUGACAGUUAGAGCUGGCCGGGGUCACUUCCUCAACCUCCCAGGGGUUUGAAGGGUGCAGUUCUGGAGCUGAAUGCCCCACGCCCCAGCGGCUCCCUGACUUGCCCCCAGCGAGAAGCCAGUGAAGUGCGGGAAGUGCAGGUCGCUCUGCUGGGAGAGUGGGCUGCAGGCCUGGAGGUUUGGCUCCGGACCGGCGCUCCUCCUGUGGUGGGACCAGGCCAGACGCAGCCUGCCAGGCGCUGACUUGACCUCCUCAAACUGAUGUGGCACAAGCUGGCAGAGCGGUCACUGCUGCCACUGAGUUUGGGUGGAAGAAACGAUCUCUGGCUCUUUCUCACUUGCUCAUUGGCUACUUUUCAUUUCUUUGUUCUCAUGAUAUGUUUUUUCUUUUUAUUACAUUUUCUGCUAUGAAUAAUUUGAAAUAUAAUGUGGUUAUUUCGCUUUGAAAAACCUGUGUCUUAUAUCUACUUACAGUAUAUCUAUGGAAGUCAAUAUACAUUAUUGUUCCUUUUUGAGUCAUAAAAUGGGAUGAGUGUGCAAUUACAUUAGUGUUUGGAUAUUCUGUCGUCUUUUUGGGACUUUUCAGUAAGUUGCCCAAAAGGACAUCUUGUAGUAACAAAGCAAUCUAGCAGCUGUAGCACUUCUACAGAAAGUCCAUGUAGGGAGGAGGUCGGGGAAGAUGUACGGGUCAACCUAACAUUACACUGUAACACAGGAGACUGCUGUUUCCAUGAUUUAAACCAAAACUGAACUUAGUACCACGUUCAUUUACACACAUUUCACCACAUUAUUGUAUUCUUUCUUUCUUUCUUUCUUUCUUGCUUAUAUUGCCUUUCCCAGCAGCAGACUCUGGGAGUAGUAACACAUAU